rnacentral:rRNA from 1 species
GACGAACGCUGGCGGCGUGCCUAAUACAUGCAAGUAGAACGCUGAAGGAGGAGCUUGCUUCUCUGGAUGAGUUGCGAACGGGUGAGUAACGCGUAGGUAACCUGCCUGGUAGCGGGGGAUAACUAUUGGAAACGAUAGCUAAUACCGCAUAAUAGUAGAUGUUGCAUGACAUUUGCCUAAAAGGUGCAAUUGCAUCACUACCAGAUGGACCUGCGUUGUAUUAGCUAGUUGGUGGGGUAACGGCUCACCAAGGCGACGAUACAUAGCCGACCUGAGAGGGUGAUCGGCCACACUGGGACUGAGACACGGCCCAGACUCCUACGGGAGGCAGCAGUAGGGAAUCUUCGGCAAUGGACGGAAGUCUGACCGAGCAACGCCGCGUGAGUGAAGAAGGUUUUCGGAUCGUAAAGCUCUGUUGUAAGAGAAGAACGAGUGUGAGAGUGGAAAGUUCACACUGUGACGGUAUCUUACCAGAAAGGGACGGCUAACUACGUG